rnacentral:rRNA from 1 species
GAUGAACGCUGGCGGCGUGCCUAAUACAUGCAAGUCGAGCGAAUGGAUUGAGAGCUUGCUCUUAUGAAGUUAGCGGCGGACGGGUGAGUAACACGUGGGUAACCUGCCCAUAAGACUGGGAUAACUCCGGGAAACCGGGGCUAAUACCGGAUAACAUUUUGAACCGCAUGGUUCGAAAUUGAAAGGCGGCUUCGGCUGUCACUUAUGGAUGGACCCGCGUCGCAUUAGCUAGUUGGUGAGGUAACGGCGCACCAAGGCAACGAUGCGUAGCCGACCUGAGAGGGUGAUCGGCGACACUGGGACUGAGACACGGCCCAGACUCCUACGGGAGGCAGCAGUAGGGAAUCUUCCGCAAUGGACGAAAGUCUGACGGAGCAACGCCGCGUGAGUGAUGAAGGCUUUCGGGUCGUAAAACUCUGUUGUUAGGGAAGAACAAGUGCUAGUUGAAUAAGCUGGCACCUUGACGGUACCUAACCAGAAAGCCACGGCUAACUACGUGCCAGCCGCCGCAGUAA